AAUCCAUACAUCGGACAUUUCUGAAUUAACUCUUUAAAUUGGUCUCAGGCUUCAUAUAAUGUUUCAUCCUUUAACUGCCAAAAAUAUGUGAUGUCAUUUCUAAGCUU
rfam:Gossypium raimondii chromosome 4, whole genome shotgun sequence.